rnacentral:rRNA from 1 species
ACGAACGCUGGCGGCGUGCUUAACCCAUGCAAGUCGAACGGAAAGGCCCUGCUUUUGUGGGGUGCUCGAGUGGCGAACGGGUGAGUAACACGUGAGUAACCUGCCCUUGACUUUGGGAUAACUUCAGGAAACUGGGGCUAAUACCGGAUAGGAGCUCCUGCUGCAUGGUGGGGGUUGGAAAGUUUCGGCGGUUGGGGAUGGACUCGCGGCUUAUCAGCUUGUUGGUGGGGUAGUGGCUUACCAAGGCUUUGACGGGUAGCCGGCCUGAGAGGGUGACCGGCCACAUUGGGACUGAGAUACGGCCCAGACGCCUACGGGAGGCAGCAGUGGGGAAUAUUGCACAAGGGGCGGAAGCCUGAUGCAGCAACGCCGCGUGCGGGAUGACGGCCUUCGGGUUGUAAACCGCUUUCGCCUGUGACGAAGCGUGAGUGACGGUAAUGGGGAAAGAAGCACCGGCUAACUACGU